GAUGAGCAUGCGUCCCAUUAGCUAGUUGGUAAGGUAACGGCUUACCAAGGCAACGAUGGGUAGGGGUCCUGAGAGGGAGAUCCCCCACACUGGUACUGAGACACGGACCAGACUCCUACGGGAGGCAGCAGUGAGGAAUAUUGGUCAAUGGGCGCAAGCCUGAACCAGCCAUGCCGCGUGCAGGAUGAAGCAUCUAUGGUGUGUAAACUGCUUUUGUACGAGAAGAAACACUCCUUCGUGAAGGAGCUUGACGGUAUCGUAAGAAUAAGGACCGGCUAACUCCGUGCCAGCAGCCGCGGUAAUACGGAGGGUCCAAGCGUUAUCCGGAAUCAUUGGGUUUAAAGGGUCCGUAGGCGGUUUUGUAAGUCAGUGGUGAAAGCCCAUCGCUCAACGGUGGAACGGCCAUUGAUACUGCAAGACUUGAAUUACUAGGAAGUAACUAGAAUAUGUAGUGUAGCGGUGAAAUGCUUAGAUAUUACAUGGAAUACCAAUUGCGAAGGCAGGUUACUACUAGUGGAUUGACGCUGAUGGACGAAAGCGUGGGGA
rnacentral:rRNA from 1 species